rnacentral:rRNA from 1 species
GGUUGCGAUCAUACCAGCACUAAUGCAACGGAUCUCAUCAGAACUCCGCAGUUAAGCGUGCUUGUGGGAGAGUAGUACUAGGAUGGGUGACCCCCUGGGAAGUCCUCGUGUUGCAACCC